GUGGGGAAUUUUGGACAAUGGGCGCAAGCCUGAUCCAGCAAUGCCGCGUGCAGGAAGAAGGCCUUCGGGUUGUAAACUGCUUUUGUACGGAACGAAACGGUCCGGGUUAAUACCCUGGGCUAAUGACGGUACCGUAAGAAUAAGCACCGGCUAACUACGUGCCAGCAGCCGCGGUAAUACGUAGGGUGCAAGCGUUAAUCGGAAUUACUGGGCGUAAAGCGUGCGCAGGCGGUUUUGUAAGACAGGCGUGAAAUCCCCGGGCUCAACCUGGGAACUGCAUUUGUGACUGCAUCGCUGGAGUGCGGCAGAGGGGGAUGGAAUUCCGCGUGUAGCAGUGAAAUGCGUAGAUAUGCGGAGGAACACCGAUGGCGAAGGCAAUCCCCUGGGCCUGCACUGACGCUCAUGCACGAAAGCGUGGGGAGCAAACAGGAUUAGAAACCCCGGUAGUCC
rnacentral:rRNA from 1 species